UGCAAACUGCGAAUACCGGAGAAUGUUAUCACGGGAGACACACGGCGGGUGCUAACGUCCGUCGUGAAGAGGGAAACAACCCAGACCGCCAGCUAAGGUCCCAAAGUCAUGGUUAAGUGGGAAACGAUGUGGGAAGGCCCAGACAGCCAGGAUGUUGGCUUAGAAGCAGCCAUCAUUUAAAGAAAGCGUAAUAGCUCACUGGUCGAGUCGGCCUGCGCGGAAGAUGUAACGGGGCUAAACCAUGCACCGAAGCUGCGGCAGCGACGCUGAUGCGUUGUUGGGUAGGGGAGCGUUCUGUAAGCCUGCGAAGGUGUGCUGUGAGGCAUGCUGGAGGUAUCAGAAGUGCGAAUGCUGACAUAAGUAACGAUAAAGCGGGUGAAAAGCCCGCUCGCCGGAAGACCAAGGGUUCCUGUCCAACGUUAAUCGGGGCAGGGUGAGUCGACCCCUAAGGCGAGGCCGAAAGGCGUAGUCGAUGGGAAACAGGUUAAUAUUCCUGUACUUGGUGUUACUGCGAAGGGGGGACGGAGAAGGCUAUGUUGGCCGGGCGACGGUUGUCCCGGUUUAAGCGUGUAGGCUGGUUUUCCAGGCAAAUCCGGAAAAUCAAGGCUGAGGCGUGAUGACGAGGCACUACGGUGCUGAAGCAACAAAUGCCCUGCUUCCAGGAAAAGCCUCUAAGCAUCAGGUAACAUCAAAUCGUACCCCAAACCGACACAGGUGGUCAGGUAGAGAAUACCAAGGCGCUUGAGAGAACUCGGGUGAAGGAACUAGGCAAAAUGGUGCCGUAACUUCGGGAGAAGG
rnacentral:rRNA from 1 species